CCUACGGGUGGCUGCAGUGAGGAAUAUUGGACAAUGGGCGAGAGCCUGAUCCAGCCAUGCCGCGUGCAGGAAGACUGCCCUAUGGGUUGUAAACUGCUUUUACAGAGGAAGAACCACUCCCACGUGUGGGAGUUUGACGGUACUCUGCGAAUAAGGAUCGGCUAACUCCGUGCCAGCGGCCGCGGUAAUACGGAGGAUCCAAGCGUUAUCCGGAAUCAUUGGGUUUAAAGGGUCCGUAGGCGGACAGUUAAGUCAGUGGUGAAAGUCUUCCGCUCAACGGGAGAACUGCCAUUGAUAAUGAUUGUCUUGAGUUAUUAUGAAGUGGCUAGAAUGAGUAGUGUAGCGGUGAAAUGCAUAGAUAUUACUCAGAACACCGAUUGCGAAGGCAGAUCACUAAUAAUAUACUGACGCUGAUGGACGAAAGCGUAGGGAGCGAACAGGAUUAGAUACCCCAGUAGUC
rnacentral:rRNA from 1 species